ACCCUCCGGUUCCCUUUCCCAUCAUAUCUGAACACGGGCCUUGGUGGUCAUAAAAGGAGGGAAAGUAAUACUGACGCUGGCCUCACAGCUCUUUAGCAUGUGGACUAGUUUGAAACAAGG